rnacentral:rRNA from 1 species
UAGGGAAUCUUCGGCAAUGGGGGCAACCCUGACCGAGCAACGCCGCGUGAGUGAAGAAGGUUUUCAGAUCGUAAAGCUCUGUUGUAAGAGAAGAACGUGUGUGAGAGUGGAAAGUUCACACAGUGACGGUAACUUACCAGAAAGGGACGGCUAACUACGUGCCAGCAGCCGCGGUAAUACGUAGGUCCCGAGCGUUGUCCGGAUUUAUUGGGCGUAAAGCGAGCGCAGGCGGUUUAAUAAGUCUGAAGUUAAAGGCAGUGGCUUAACCAUUGUUCGCUUUGGAAACUGUUAAACUUGAGUGCAGAAGGGGAGAGUGGAAUUCCAUGUGUAGCGGUGAAAUGCGUAGAUAUAUGGAGGAACACCGGUGGCGAAAGCGGCUCUCUGGUCUGUAACUGACGCUGAGGCUCGAAAGCGUGGGGAGCAAACAGG